rnacentral:rRNA from 1 species
CAGGCCUAACACAUGCAAGUCGAGGGGCAGCAUGAGCUUAGCUUGCUAAGCUUGAUGGCGACCGGCGCACGGGUGAGUAACGCGUAUCCAACCUUCCCCUUAGUAGGGCAUAGCCCGGUGAAAAUCGGAUUAAUACCCUAUGUUCUUCACAGCGGGCAUCUAACGUGAAGCAAAGGUUCACCGCUAAGGGAUGGGGAUGCGUCUGAUUAGGUAGUCGGCGGGGUAACGGCCCACCGAGCCAUCGAUCAGUAGGGGUUCUGAGAGGAAGGUCCCCCACAUUGGAACUGAGACACGGUCCAAACUCCUACGGGAGGCAGCAGUGAGGAAUAUUGGUCAAUGGUCGAGAGACUGAACCAGCCAAGUAGCGUGCAGGAUGACGGCCCUAUGGGUUGUAAACUGCUUUUAUGCGGGGAUAAAGUCACCCACGUGUGGGUGUUUGCAGGUACCGCAUGAAUAAGGACCGGCUAAUUCCGUGCCAGCAGCCGCGGUAAUACGGAAGGUCCGGGCGUUAUCCGGAUUUAUUGGGUUUAAAGGGAGCGCAGGCGGCCUUUUAAGCGUGACGUGAAAUGCAGACGCCCAACGUCUGAACUGCGUCGCGAACUGGAGGGCUUGAGUGGGUACGACGCCGGCGGAAUUCGUGGUGUAGCGGUGAAAUGCUUAGAUAUCACGAAGAACUCCGAUUGCGAAGGCAGCCGGCGAGUCCUCAACUGACGCUAAAGCUCGAAAGUGCGGGUAUCGAACAGGAUUAGAUACCCUGGUAGUCCGCACGGUAAACGAUGGAUGCCCGCUGUUGGCGAUACAAUGUCAGCGGCCAAGCGAAAGCGUUAAGCAUCCCACCUGGGGAGUACGCCGGCAACGGUGAAACUCAAAGGAAUUGACGGGGGCCCGCACAAGCGGUGGAGCAUGUGGUUUAAUUCGAAGCAACGCGCAGAACCUUACCUGGGUUUGACAUCCUCGGAAUUUUGCAGAGAUGCGGAAGUGCCCUUCGGGGAACCGAGAGACAGGUGCUGCAUGGCUGUCGUCAGCUCGUGUCGUGAGAUGUUGGGUUAAGUCCCGCAACGAGCGCAACCCUUGUCCAUGGUUGCCAUCAUUCAGUUGGGCACUCCAUGGAGACUGCCGGUGUUAAGCCGGAGGAAGGUGGGGAUGACGUCAAGUCCUCAUGGCCCUUAUGUCCAGGGCUACACACGUGCUACAAUGGGCGGUACAAAGAGAAGCGAAGUCGUGAGUCCAAGCGAAUCUCAAAAAGCCGUCCUCAGUUCGGAUUGGAGUCUGCAACCCGACUCCAUGAAGCCGGAAUCGCUAGUAAUCGCGGAUCAGAAUGCUGCGGUGAAUACGUUCCCGG